GCCGACUUAGCUCAUAGGUAGAGUGGUUAGAGUGGAAAUAACAGGGCGUAGGUUCGACCCCUACAGUAGGCA
rnacentral:tRNA from 1 species